CUCCAAAUGUUCACUUUUGGAUACUUCCCUGCCUGACUGCAUGAUGCUGCCGAUGGAUGGGGGAUACAAGAGAGAAAAAGAGCUGGCUGACCAAGGUACUCGUCGGGGACCGUAGUAGACCCCCGCAUCCAUCGGCGCAUGAUUGGCACACAAUACGAUUCUUCUCCUCCUUCUUCUUCUUCCUUCGCUCUACGGCCGGGACGGCGCCGGUAGAGGUUGAGCUGGCGCUAUCAUCCUCUCCCAUAUCCCCCAUGUGAGCUGUUGUUAUUAGGAGCAAGAGAUCAAUCUAGCUUAAUUCUAGUACUGCUAAAUCAUCGUCAUCAUCAGGCGCAUCUGUCCCGCUUUAUUAGGCUAGCUUUGCUGCUUUAAUUUACCACCUUUCCGGUGAUUAGCACUGCUAGUUUCUCGAUCGAUCGCCGGCUUUUCUUUUUUCGGAUAUAUGCAUAUCGGUUUAAGCUUAACUAUGAUUGAUAAAGCUUUUACGAUGGUCUCUGCUGAUAUAGGCAUAUAGGCAUGUUUAAUGUGUACGUCUAAUAUGAAGUUGACUCUUAUCACACCAAAUGUGAUAGAUAACCAACUUGCACAUGCAUGCGUGUGUGGUGUCCGUAGAGGCUGCCAAGCACUCCCUUUCAUGUUAAUUUUGAGGGUGUGUGUUCACCUUAAUUUUUUUUUUAGAAUUACAUAGUCAGGACCGGCUCUGGGCCACGGCAAGAAGUGCGAUGGCCUAGGGCCCAGAAAAAGUAGGGGCCCAGACCUAGGUAUGUAUUAGGUAUACCAUAUGCACGUAUACAAGUUUCUGAUCGAAUCAUUGGGCAUACACGACCGUCCAAGUUCCAAACUUUUGUCUUCUCGUCUCCUCUCCUCUACCGGCGGCAGUCUCCGCCAAUCCGCCUCCAGCGCCCUCCACGGCGCCUGCGCAAGUUCGCCCCACGCCGAGCCGCCGGCGAUCCCUUCAGCAUUCAGCCCUUCACAGCUUUGUGCCUUUGUCUGUCGACUGUUCGCCUUGGACACCGGCCGACCGGCGACCGCCGACACAACACAACGUGAAUCUGCCUCAACUUCCAGAGUGUCUGCAGGUUUCAAUUUACAGGUUUGCAAUGUUACCUAAAAAGCAUUUAUCUGGUGCUAAGAAAAGGAAAAAAAGAAAACGAGGAGAUCAGUUUAUUGAAUCACAGAAGGGUGCUAUACAUAAGUUCUUUUCGGCAUCAAGUAGUGCUGUUCCUGAUGAAAAUCCUGAGGCAGAUUAUCCUAGUACUGAAGAACAAGAGCAGCAACUUGUUCUUUUUGUAAAUACUGAAGAUGACGCUAAUCAUGAUGAUUCAGAACAUGAAAAUUUGCAGCGUUCACCUUGUACUGAGAAUGCAAAUGUUGAUGUACAUGAGAAUAUCUAUGAUCCUAGGACUUGGGAAAAUCUUGACAACAGGGGGAGAGAUAUAUUAAUUGAAAAGGGGCCUAUCAGAGAAUUCAAUCUACUGUUCCCUUCAGAUAGUAGUGGUAGACAUUUUUCGUAUGCUUACUACUCUAGAAAGCUGAGCAAUGGUGAGGUGAUUGAUAGAAAAUGGUUGGUUUACUCUAAGCAUGUGGACAAAGUAUAUUGUUUUUGCUGUAAACUGUUCAAAUCAAAUCAGAGCAAAAGUUUGUUAGCUUCUGAUGGAUUGAAGGACUGGAAGCAUCUCAGUGGAAGACUCAAACAGCAUGAGAACAGUGUGGAGCAUAUAAAAAACAUGAAUACUUGGAAUGAACUUAGGUUGAGGUUAAGCCAAAAUCAGACAAUUGAUGAUGAUUUGCAACGGGGAAUUUCAAAGGAGAAAGAGCGUUGGAGACAAGUUUUGAUAAGAAUAGUUGCUGCAGUGAAGUUUCUUGCUAAACAUAAUUUGGCCUUUCGAGGAUCCAAUGAGAAACUUUAUCAAGAUAACAAUGGCAAUUUUCUGGGCACAAUUGAAAUGGUUGCUGAGUUUGAUUCUGUGAUGCAAGACCACAUUAGACGCAUUCAAAAUCAUGAAGUUCACCAUCACUAUCUCGGCCACAAUAUUCAGAACGAGCUAAUUUCCCUUCUUGCUCAGGCUGUGAAAGUUUAUAUUAUGAGGGUUAUCAAGGAUGCUAAGUAUUUCUCUGUAAUAUUAGAUUGUACCCCGGAUGUCAGCCAUGAAGAACAAAUGACUUUAAUUGUGCGUUGUGUCAAUUUAUCGAGUAAUAUUCCAAGAGUCGAGGAGUUCUUUCUAGAGUUUUUGAAGGUGGAUGAUACAUCGGGAUUGGGGCUUUUUAAUGAACUGAUGAAGGCAUUGGACUCCCUUGAAUUGAAUGUCAGUGAUGUGAGAGGACAAGGUUAUGACAAUGGUUCUAAUAUGAAGGGGAAACACCAAGGAGUUCAGAAACGUUUGCUUGAAAUUAAUCCAAGAGCAUUAUACAUGCCAUGUGCAUGUCAUAGUCUAAAUUUAACUCUAUGUGAUAUGGCAAAAUCGUGCAAUAAAGCUAUUUCGUUCUUUGGUGUUAUACAACGAAUAUAUACACUAUUUUCAUGCUCGACAAAAAGAUGGAAGAUUUUUCUUGAGAAUGUUCCACACUUGACUGUCAAAUCAGUGUGUAAUACACGAUGGGAGAGUCGAAUAAAAAGUGUCCAAGCUAUUAGAUACCAAACUCCCCAAAUAAGGUCAGCUUUGUUGGAACUAGAGAAAGCUUCUACCGAUGACCCAAAAGCUGUGAGUGAUGCUCAAUCUUUGGUCACUGCACUAGAGAAUUUUGAAUAUUUAGUUGGAAUGGUUAUUUGGCAUGAUAUAUUAUUUUCUAUAAAUAUGGUCAGCAAGAAGUUGCAGUCUGAGAUUGUGUGCAUGGAUGCUACUCUCAAGCAAAUCGAAGGUGUCAUAUCAUUUUUCCAGAGGUACAGAAAUGAAGGCUUCACUUCUAGUAUAGAUAUUGCAAAAGUCAUUGCAUCUGACAUGGAUAUAGAACCAAAAUUUCCUACAAAACGUCAAGCUAAAAGAAAGAAACAUUUUGAUGAACAAAAUGACCAAAAUGAAGAACAACAAUCAGUUGUGGAGUCCUUUAGAGUUAAUUACUUCCUAGUCAUGAUUGAUGUUGCAAUUGCCUCAUUGACUAGUCGAUUUGAGCAGUUGAAGGCAUUUGAAAAUGUGUUUGGUUUCUUGUUCACCUCAAAGAAUUUGAAAUCCUUGGAUGAUACUGAUCUAUGGCAGUGCUGCACUAAUUUUGUAGAGACAUUUUCACAUAAUAACUCAUCCGAUGUUGAGCUAAAUGACUUCUUUUCUGAAUUAAAAGUGUUGCAAGCGACUUUGCCAGAUGCUUUGAAGUCAGCACCUGAGAUUCUUGAAUUCAUUACAGCUGCAGAUUGCUAUCCAAAUGUUUUAGUUGCCUAUCGAAUCCUCUUAACUGUGCCUGUGACAGUAGCCUCAACUGAAAGAAGCUUCUCAAAAUUAAAGUUAUUGAAAAACUAUUUGAGAUCAACCAUGUCACAAGAAAGAUUAAAUGGCUUGGCUAUGUGCUGCAUUGAGAAGAAUGUCUUGGAAAAUAUUGAUCUCGAUACCGUCAUUAAUGAUUUUGCAUCAAGAAAUGCCCGAAGGAGUAUUUUUUUAUGAGAAGCAAAUGGAUAUCUGUCAUUUUAUCUUUUGUCAAGUAUUAUUAAUGAAGUCCCUAGAGCUUGAUCCUAAGUCAAGAAUUCAAGUGACUAGAUUGUGAUGGCAAAUGAAUGUGAUUCCUUUGUGUGCAUGAUGUCCGAAGAGACCCAUGUUGAGGCAUAUUCCUUGCCAAUGCAAAAUGAAGACCUUCAUACUUCAACAAAUGGUGCAAAAGGAAGAGCCAAAAGAUCAAGCAACUUUAAUCGUAAGGAGGACAUUCAACUGUGCAUUUCAUGGCAAAGCAUUAGCUCGGAUCCUAUUAUUGGCAAUGAGCAACCAGGGAAGGCAUAUUGGCAAAGGAUUGCAGAGCACUACCAUGCUAACUGUGAUUUUAAGUCUGAUAGGAAUGCAAACUCUCUUGAGCACUUUGGGAUAACAUUCAGAAGGAAGUAAGCAAGUUUCAGGGCUGCUACGAGCAAAUUGAGCGUCGACAUCCAAGUGGCAUACCACAUCAAGAGCUUGUUCUUGAAGCUGAGGCAUUGUACUCAUCCAAUGCAUCGAAGAAUAGGGCAUUUCAGUUUAAUCAUUGUUGGCUCAAGUUGAGGAAUUCUCCAAAGUUUCAAACUCUAGAAUCCCACAAGAGGCCAAGGUCUAGGAAGUCUUCCACCCCAAUUGAGAGUGCUAGUGAAGAAGAUGAAGAAGGAGAUGAUGCUAGGAAGAGUACAACUCCUGAUUUAUUACAGCCAAGUGCUAAAAAAAGACCAAUGGGUAGGAAGCAAGCAAAGGAGAAGAUGAAGAAUGGAGAAGAUGGACCAUAAA